AGCUGAUAUGAUGACUAGAAUACUUUGAUUGCCUAUAUGAUGGCUAUUUAUCAUGUAUUAGCUCUAGCUGAUCACUC
rnacentral:snoRNA from 1 species